AUAUCACGUUGAAAUACCCGUUACCUUACGUUCACCGAAGUUAAGCAAUGUCGAUCCUGGUCAGUACUUAGAUGGGUGACUGCACGUGAAUACCAGAUGUUAU